GACGAACGCUGGCGGCGUGCUUAACACAUGCAAGUCGAACGGUAAGGCCCUUCGGGGUACACGAGUGGCGAACGGGUGAGUAACACGUGGGUGAUCUGCCCUGCACUUCGGGAUAAGCCUGGGAAACUGGGUCUAAUACCGGAUUGGACCAUGCGCUUCACGGUGUGUGGUGGAAAGCUUUUGCGGUGUGGGAUGGGCCCGCGGCCUAUCAGCUUGUUGGUGAGGUAUUGGCCUACCAAGGCGACGACGGGUAGCCGGCCUGAGAGGGUGACCGGCCACACUGGGACUGAGAUACGACCCAGACUCCUACGGGAGGCAGCAGUGGGGAAUAUUGCACAAUGGGCUGAAGCCUGAUGCAGCGACGCCGCGUGAGGGAUGACGGCCUUCGGGUUGUAAACCUCUUUCAGUAGGGACGAAGCGCAAGUGACGGUACCUACAGAAGAAGGACCGGCCAACUACGUGCCAGCAGCCGCAGUAA
rnacentral:rRNA from 1 species